CCUACGGGGGGCAGCAGUGGGGAAUAUUGCACAAUGGGCGCAAGCCUGAUGCAGCCAUGCCGCGUGUAUGAAGAAGGCCUUCGGGUUGUAAAGUACUUUCAGCGGGGAGGAAGGUGCUGAGGUUAAUAACCUCAGCAAUUGACGUUACCCGCAGAAGAAGCACCGGCUAACUCCGUGCCAGCAGCCGCGGUAAUACGGAGGGUGCAAGCGUUAAUCGGAAUUACUGGGCGUAAAGCGCACGCAGGCGGUCUGUCAAGUCGGAUGUGAAAUCCCCGGGCUCAACCUGGGAACUGCAUUCGAAACUGGCAGGCUGGAGUCUUGUAGAGGGGGGUAGAAUUCCAGGUGUAGCGGUGAAAUGCGUAGAGAUCUGGAGGAAUACCGGUGGCGAAGGCGGCCCCCUGGACAAAGACUGACGCUCAGGUGCGAAAGCGUGGGGAGCAAACAGGAUUAGAUACCCCAGUAGU
rnacentral:rRNA from 1 species